CAGAGUACUAUACUCAUAACCCUUUGUGAACCUUUAUAACUUGUUGCUUCGGCGGCGCGAGCCCCUCGGGGAGCGUGCCCGCCGGUGUCAUCAGAAUCUCUGUUCGAACCCGACGAUACUUCUGAGUGUUCUAAGCGAACUGUUA
rnacentral:misc_RNA from 1 species